GUGAAAGUGUGCAUAGGUAAAUAAUGUUCUAUUGUGACAGAGCUCUUUUUUGUUUUAUUUUGUUUUGUUUUUCGAGACAGGGUUUCUCUGUGUAGCUUUGGAGCCUAUCCUGGCACUCGCUCUGGGAUUAAAGGUGUUCACCACCAACAGCCGGUACAACAGAGUUCUUACAUCUUAUAUUAAAGAAUGUCUGGCAGAUUCCUCUGUGAAGCAGGAACCCUUGAAGGACCAUCCCAUCUUGUCUUGGCAAGUUCAGCAGUCAUUUUUCUGUGGAUCCUGCACAUCCAGUUCACACAGCAUAUAGUCAAGCAGUUCAGGCAAGAGCAGUUUCCUGCCCAAAUGGCUAGCCCUGCUACACUGGAGGCACACUCUGUAACAAGUUUUUUCGAUGCCCAUCAUCCUCUCUGACAUAAUUGGUGCUGCCAGGAGCAGAUGUGACUCAUGUCAACAGAAUUCUAAAUUACUGAAACAUUUAAAUGCCGUGUUCUGUAGGUCUUAUUUAUACAAAAAGGGGGAAUUGUUGUGGGAACUCAUUCAACC
rnacentral:lncRNA from 1 species